rnacentral:lncRNA from 1 species
UGCAAAUCAAAACCACAAUGAGAUACCAUCUCACACCAGUUAGAAUGGCGAUCAUUAAAAAGUCAGGAAACAGCAGGUGCUGGAGGGGAUGUGGAGAAAUAGGAACACUUUUACACUGUUGGUGGGACUGUAAACUAGUUCAACCAUUGUGGAAGUCAGUGUGGCGAUUCCUCAGGGAUCUAGAACUAGUCAUACCAUUUGACCCAGCCAUCCCAUUACUGGGUAUAUACCCAAAGGACUAUAAAUCAUGCUGCUAUAAAGACACAUGCACACAUAUGUUUACUGCGGCAUUAUUCACAAUAGCCAAGACUUGGAACCAAGCCAAAUGUCCAACAAUGAUAGACUGGACUAAGAAAAUAUGGCACAUAUACACCAUGGAAUACUAUGCAGCCUUAAAAAAUGAUGAGUUCAUGUCCUUUGUAGGGACAUGGAUGAAAUUGGAAACCAUCAUUCUCAGUAAACUAUCGCAAGGACAAAAAACCAAAC